rnacentral:rRNA from 1 species
AUGAACGCUGGCGGCGUGCCUAAUACCUGCAAGUCGAGCGAACGGACGAGAAGCUUGCUUCUCUGAUGUUAGCGGCGGACGGGUGAGUAACCCGUGGAUAACCUACCUAUAAGACUGGGAUAACUUCGGGAAACCGGAGCUAAUACCGGAUAAUAUUUUGAACCGCAUGGUUCAAAAGUGAAAGACGGUCUUGCUGUCACUUAUAGAUGGAUCCGCGCUGCAUUAGCUAGUUGGUAAGGUAACGGCUUACCAAGGCAACGAUGCAUAGCCGACCUGAGAGGGUGAUCGGCCACACUGGAACUGAGACACGGUCCAGACUCCUACGGGAGGCAGCAGUAGGGAAUCUUCCGCAAUGGGCGAAAGCCUGACGGAGCAACGCCGCGUGAGUGAUGAAGGUCUUCGGAUCGUAAAACUCUGUUAUUAGGGAAGAACAUAUGUGUAAGUAACUGUGCACAUCUUGACGGUACCUAAUCAGAAAGCCACGGCUAACUACGUG